rnacentral:rRNA from 1 species
UACGGAGGGUGCGAGCGUCGUCCGGAAUCACUGGGCGUAAAGGGCGCGUAGGCGGCUCAUGAAGGCUGUGGUGAAAGUCCGGGGCUCAACCUCGGAUCGGCCGUGGCGACUCGUGGGCUGGAGCACUGUAGAGGCGGGUGGAAUUCCGGGUGUAGCGGUGGAAUGCGUAGAGAUCCGGAAGAACACCAGUGGCGAAGGCGGCCCGCUGGGCAGUGGCUGACGCUGAAGCGCGACAGCGUGGGGAGCAAACAGG